rnacentral:lncRNA from 14 species
UCCCGACCUACAUGAUGUGAGCCUCCGGUGUAAAGGCUGCUGUUGCUGCACUGAGCUAAGAAGGCAGUGAAGGCUCGCUGCAGAGCAAGCGCUUCUCUGGCUCUCCUCACCGGGUAGAAAUUUCUGACAGUCCACAAUUAAUAAUGAUGCCUCAGACCUCUGUGCUGAUCAAAUGGUGUGGGCCACUCACCACACACGAAAUCACCAGCUUCUGGAAGAGGCUUUGAGGGAGGGUUUUCCUCACCCUGUGACCUCACACAGCAGGGAUGCCCUCAGCAUCCGUUACCUUGGAGAAAUAUUUAAAUGUUCUACCCCACCCACUCUCCUCUUGCUGCCCUCACUCUGGAGCAGUUAACACUCACUGGAUGGAGCUGUAUUUGUCUGCAUCUCCCACUUAAACACAAAGUCUGUGAGGGGCUUUGUUACGGAGGUGUCCCUGGAGCCUGGCAGGUUGUCAUCAGUCAGAAGAAUGGAGCCCCGGGGGAUCACGUCAUGCAACACUCAUCUCAGGCUCUGCCUGAUGGAGGCACACGGAGCACAAAGGGCCCUUUAGGAUCUGUCAAGCAGAUCGGAACUGACGCAAAGAAAAUCCGUGGGCUUCAGAGCAAGGACACAGUGGAGCAUCCAGAGACAGGAAAAGGUCCCUGAGAAAAUACAAUCCAGUUGCCUGGCAAGCAAGCACCUCUAACUCUGUCAGGUGGCCACCAACUCUUUGGAGCUCCAGAAAGAAGAGGAUACAAGUAGCCAUCAGACUGUCUGGGUUUUGGACCAGACACUGCCCCUAGGACUUUUGCAGGGAUGACUGGCAGAGGAGCCUGCGAACCAGGGCCACGUUCUUUUAUAAACCUUCUCCAUUGGGAUUAAACUGUAACAAUUCCUAUUGUUUAAAUAUCUGCCGGUGCGGGAUAAAGCACACCAAGCCAACAGGGUUCCACGUGGAGAGAUUUAAUGGGAGAAUGAGACAAGGGGAAGGGACAAGAGAAAGAAGAGAAAAAGAGGGAGAGGGCAGAAAAUGUCUGCCUCUUAUUUGGAAUAUGACGGAACUGCUCCCAGGUGGGAACUAAGCCAAAGGUAUACUGGGAAUGUAUGGCCAUUGCCAUGGCAACAGUGACCAAAUGGUGUAGCUGCUGGAGGCGAAAGCAAUUCCUGAUACCAACACCUAUAACUGUAGUAUUUGUUUUCUAAAGGUAAAUUAACUUCCUUCUAGG